AAACAAAAGUUUCUAUGUUUUAUCCUGUAGCUGAUUUUAUUACCUUUAAACAAUAAGAUUGUUUUCCUUUCACAGAGAACGCUGGCCUGAAAAGAAGUGUGCUGCUCACAGCACUAUUUUCCAUCCAUCUGGUUGCUGCAGGUGCAUAAGGCUGGUGAAAAUUUUGCAGUGUGCUCGAGUCCUGGUGCACCUGCUGCUAGACCUGUCUGAAAGCCCCGGCAUCGCCUGCCCAGGAGUGUGAAGAAUGACUGAAGCGUUAAAUAAGGACGUGGGUGUCAGCACCCAGAACAGAAGAGGGCAAGGGGAUGAUGCUGUUGGGCUGGUGUGGGCAAAACAUG
rnacentral:lncRNA from 1 species